rnacentral:rRNA from 1 species
GGAGGAAUAUUGAUCAAUGGGCGCAAGCCUGAACCAGCCAAGUAGCGUGAGGGAAGACUGCCCUACGGGUUGUAAACCUCUUUUGUUUGGGAAUAAAGUGCGGGACGUGUCCUGCAUUGCAUGUACCAUUUGAAUAAGGACCGGCUAAUUCCGUGCCAGCAGCCGCGGUAAUACGGAAGGUCCGGGCGUUAUCCGGAUUUAUUGGGUUUAAAGGGUGCGCAGGCGGCGCGCCAAGUCAGCGGUCAAAGUUCCGGGCUCAACCCGGUGUCGCCGUUGAAACUGGCGUGCUCGAGUGCGUGCGAGGAAGGCGGAAUGCGUUGUGUAGCGGUGAAAUGCAUAGAUAUGACGCAGAACU